UCACGAUCACGACCAUAGCCAUCUCUAUCACUAGAGUAAAGAGAGAAACAUGUAAAUCCCGAGGCAUCGAUUUUUACAGCAAUUUCACAUCAAGGCGUGA